rnacentral:pre_miRNA from 1 species
AAGGUGCUUCCGAAAAUAUUUGUCAUCAAAAUGAAUAAAAAAAGGAUAUAUCUAGACGUAUUUUAGUUUUAGAUACAUUCUUUUCUAUCCAUUUUGAUGACAAGUAUUUUUGGACGGAGGGAGUACAUU